rnacentral:rRNA from 1 species
AUACGGAGGGUGCGAGCGUUAAUCGGAAUUACUGGGCGUAAAGCGCGCGUAGGCGGUUUGGUCAGUCGGAUGUGAAAGCCCCGGGCUUAACCUGGGAAUUGCAUUCGAUACUGCCAGGCUAGAAUGUAGUAGAGGGAAGUGGAAUUCCGGGUGUAGCGGUGAAAUGCGUAGAUAUCCGGAGGAACAUCAGUGGCGAAGGCGACUUCCUGGACUAACAUUGACGCUGAGGUGCGAAAGCGUGGGGAGCAAACAGGAUUAGAAACCCCGGUAGUCC